rnacentral:rRNA from 1 species
AGCGAACGCUGGCGGCAGGCCUAACACAUGCAAGUCGAACGAACUCUUCGGAGUUAGUGGCGGACGGGUGAGUAACACGAGGGAACGUGCCUUUUGGUUCGGAAUAACUCAGGGAAACUUGUGCUAAUACCGAAUGUGCCAUUCGGGGGAAAGAUUUAUCGCCAUUAGAGCGGCCCGCGUCUGAUUAGCUAGUUGGUGAGGUAACGGCUCACCAAGGCGACGAUCAGUAGCUGCUCUGAGAGGAUGACCAGCCACACUGAGACUGAGACACGGCCCAGACUGCUACGGGAGGCAGCCGUGGGGAAUCUUGCGCAAUGGGCGAAAGCCUGACGCAGCCAUGCCGCGUGAAUGAUGAAGGUCUUAGGAUUGUAAAAUUCUUUCGCCGGUGACGAUAAUGACGGUACCCGGAGAAGAAGCCCCGGCUAACUUCGUG